ensembl:snRNA U6 U6 spliceosomal RNA
GUGUUGUGUUGUCAGUACGUAAACUAAAAUUGGAAUGAUACAAGGAGGAUUAGCCUGACCUUGCACAAGGAUGACACUCUUCACAAGGAACGCUUGUGAAGCCUU